AGUAAUCAGAGGGCGAGCUCAUUCUGGGAGGGGUUAGCAGCAUUCCCUCAGCCAUGUCGACCAACAAACUCGGCAUAGAGAAUAUGGCUUCCUCGUCGACAAACUCAGUUUCAUACGAAGGACCAACAACAUUAUGGUAAGCGUAAUCAUAACCCUCUGUGUUAUCAGACUGGGCUACUGCAUUAACGUUGUUGUGGCUGGCUUCAGGCUUCAUGAGUUCUGCUGCAGCAAUGGCUGCGGUGCGGAUGUCCUCAGGGGAUUUUGACGCGGGAACUGGAUACCUGCCAACUGAGUCCGGGAAGUUGAGAACCGCUUCGCCGCCUUUG
rnacentral:lncRNA from 1 species